CUCAGAACGAACGCUGGUGGCGUGUCUAUACAUGCAAGUCGAGCGAGGCAGCAAUGCCGAGCGGCGAACGGGUGAGUAACGCGUAAGCAAUCUGCCCCAUAUCAGGAAAUACCCGUGCCAACGCGCGGUUAAUGUCCAGGAGAGUGGCCUUCCGCAUGGAAGGUUGACUAGAGAUUUAUCGGUAUGGGAUGAGCUUGCGUCCGAUUAGCUAGUGGCGGGGCAACGGCCCACCAAGGCGACGAUCGGUAGCCGGCCUGAGAGGGUGAUCGGCCACAUUGGGACUGAGAUACGGCCCAGACUCCUACGGGAGGCAGCAGUAGGGAAUAUUGCACAAUGGGGGAAACCCUGAUGCAGCAACGCCACGUGUGGGAAGAAGCAUUUCGGUGUGUAAACCACUGUCAUGAGGGAAUAAGGCCCGCCUUCGGACGGGAUUGAAUGUACCUUGAGAGGAAGCACCGGCAAACUUCGUGCCAGCCGCCGC
rnacentral:rRNA from 1 species